CUCUCACUCUCACUUCAUUUCACCAAGAAUUAUUGAAGAUCAGUGCCUAUCUUGUUCCUGCCAAGUUCUCACGAAUUAUUCCAGUUCAUCUAGUACCUCAACAAGCAGCCAAAAACCAAACAUUCACAAGGUCAAGCGCGAGAGUAAGAACUACACAAGGAGUUAGAGUACCUUAGCAAAACUUUGCUAUCAGGUUGAGCUGUGAUGGGCGAUGAAGUGUUGCUGAGUGGAGUUUUUGUCGAACUUAAAGUAGGCUCAGAAAGGAUACAUGUCUUCAUACAUGUAUCUCAGUUAUGCAUUCCGCUGUAAACACUGAUUAUUUAAGUUACACCUUCCGUUGCAAACUCUGAUAAUGUUUUAGCCAAACCCCUAACGAUGCCUUUUUCCUUUUAAGGAAUAUAACGCGUAUACAAGUUCUUUGAGUAA